AGAUUUGCGUCAUAGUCUGCGACAUACGUUUCUAUGAGCAGGACGGGAUGCCAGUCAGGCUUCCUUGUUUUUAUGACGGACGUGAUGACACGCAGUGACCUCCUCCACAAGGCAUCCCCAAAAGUAAAGGAACAGCAGGCCAGCCACGUACUGCAUGAGUCCUCGAUCCCAGCAGCAACCGAGCACGCCGAUGAUCCAGCCGAAGAAGAUGAUGGCCACCGCCAUGCCCAUGAAGCCUGCCGUCAUUCGCCGCAAAUCUGCCGGCACACGGUGGCAGAAAUUACGGUCAUCUCUCAUCGUCCCGGCCGCCGUCAAGUCACACCGAAAAGUCAGGUAAGUUUUUCAACGAUUAUCUACCGCUGAACAAAUCGAGACGGAAAAUACGCUCGAGCCGCCUUUGAGGCGGACGUUGCCGAGGACGAUAAAUCUCCGGGAUUAGGAGCUCGGAGUUUUGAAAACCGAGCCAUAAAUCGUCUUAAACUGGGCAAGAAGCCACAGCCAACUAACUUUUUGGUAACUGUAAAAAUAUCACGUCCGGAGAAGCUACGAAAUAAACUCCAUUGCCAACUAUUUUGCUAACCAAAACAGCAGCAGCAAAACCUUCUCAUAUGAGGAACUUGAUACCUUGUGAAGUGAGAAACAAGCUUCAUGUGGGCGGUCCAUAGCCUUGUCUAAUAAAAGCAGUACUUUGCCGCCAUCCCGUAGAACGAAAGCCGUUUCCAAAUACGUUUGCGUGGGCAUCGUUUACUAUCGAGUUUUUAUUCUUCACUUCACAUUAGUGAAAAACUGUCAACCAAAUUAGCAAUGUUGUUUCUUCAAAUCUAAAAUUCUCAGCUCGUAGGAAAAUAACGUGUUCAUGCUGUUUUCGGAACCUUCAUUUGACAUCGCUGGGAACAUAUUCCGUACAUGGUUUGGGGAGGGAAAUUGCUCAUAGAUUGAGGUCAGGGGAUGUCAUCUUACUUCUUAAAUAUUCAUUCCAGCAGCACAUUUCUAAAUGUAGUCCAUAUUGCAACGAUGACAACGCGAGGGCAAAAAAGAACAAGGGCAGCAGUGUGUGCACGGGGGAGGGGGGGGGGGAUGGGUAAUGACAGGGCUCGAACUACGAAGGCAACGUCCAAGAAGCGAAAAAAAAAAAAAACAA